AUGUAGGGCAAUCUGUCUUUAAGUAGGGAUAAACUACUCUUAAAGAAAAAAAGGAAUCCUAGAUAGUUUUCCCUUCAAGUCAAGUGUCUUGU
rnacentral:pre_miRNA from 12 species